ensembl:snRNA U6 U6 spliceosomal RNA
GUGCUUGCACUUUGGCAGCACAUAAACUAAAAUUGGAAUGAUAUAGAUAUUAGCACGGCCCCUGUACAAGGAUGACAUGCAAACAUUUGUGAAGAAAAUAUUUUUU